CCAAAUGACAUUUUUGCCCCUCUUGUAUUAUUUGAGCUUGCUUGUGUAUCUAACCCAAUAAGGAGUGGGUGACCUAACUUGUUGACAUUGUGACCUAAAUAAUGCCAUCAAUCAAUCCUAGAUCAGUCAAUACAUGCAUCCAAGACUUGUAUAAAUAGAUUGGAAGAGAGAGAAAAUCAUUUGUUAACUUAUUUUUGCCCAAACACUCAAACAUUCUCUCUCAAGCUCCACACCUCCGAAAUUCUUUCCUAAUAUCAGUCAAGAACCAAGCCCCACGAUUACCUCUAACCAAAUCAGUAGUCAGAAUCAAAAGAUUGAUCAUCAAGGUAUAAAAACCCUAGCUAUAAUCUGACCAAAAAUAUGAUGUUAGAUGUU
rnacentral:lncRNA from 1 species